AGAGUUUGAUCCUGGCUCAGGAUGAACGCUGGCGGCGUGCUUAACACAUGCAAGUCGAACGGGAAUUACUUUAUUGAAACUUCGGUCGAUUUAAUUUAAUUCUAGUGGCGGACGGGUGAGUAACGCGUGGGUAACCUGCCUUAUACAGGGGGAUAACAGUCAGAAAUGACUGCUAAUACCGCAUAAGCGCACAGAGCUGCAUGGCUCGGUGUGAAAAACUCCGGUGGUAUAAGAUGGACCCGCGUUGGAUUAGCUAGUUGGUGAGGUAACGGCCCACCAAGGCGACGAUCCAUAGCCGGCCUGAGAGGGUGAACGGCCACAUUGGGACUGAGACACGGCCCAGACUCCUACGGGAGGCAGCAGUGGGGAAUAUUGCACAAUGGGGGAAACCCUGAUGCAGCGACGCCGCGUGAAGGAAGAAGUAUCUCGGUAUGUAAACUUCUAUCAGCAGGGAAGACAGUGACGGUACCUGACUAAGAAGCCCCGGCUAACUACGUGCCAGCAGCCGCGGUAAUACGUAGGGGGCAAGCGUUAUCCGGAUUUACUGGGUGUAAAGGGAGCGUAGACGGACUGGCAAGUCUGAUGUGAAAGGCGGGGGCUCAACCCCUGGACUGCAUUGGAAACUGUUAGUCUUGAGUGCCGGAGAGGUAAGCGGAAUUCCUAGUGUAGCGGUGAAAUGCGUAGAUAUUAGGAAGAACACCAGUGGCGAAGGCGGCUUGCUGGACAGUAACUGACGUUCAGGCUCGAAAGCGUGGGGAGCAAACAGGAUUAGAUACCCUGGUAGUCCACGUAGUAAACGAUGAUAACGGGCUGUCGGCGAUACACGGUCGGCGGCUAAGCGAAAGCGAUUAAGUUAUCCACCUGGGGAGUACGUUCGCAAGAAUGAAACUCAAAGGAAUUGACGGGGGCCCGCACAAGCGGAGGAACAUGUGGUUUAAUUCGAUGAUACGCGAGGAACCUUACCCGGGCUUGAAAGUUACUGGCGAUUCUGGAAACAGGAUUUCCCUUCGGGGCAGGAAACUAGGUGCUGCAUGGUUGUCGUCAGCUCGUGCCGUGUGGUGUCGGGUUAAGUCCCAUAACGAGCGCAACCCCUACCGUUAGUUGCCAUCAGGUCAAGCUGGGCACUCUGGCGGGACUGCCGGUGUAAGCCGAGAGGAAGGUGGGGAUGACGUCAAAUCAGCACGGCCCUUACGUCCGGGGCUACACACGUGUUACAAUGGUAGGUACAGAGGGCAGCUACCCAGUGAUGGGAUGCGAAUCUCGAAAGCCUAUCUCAGUUCGGAUAAAAGGCUGAAACCCGCCUCCGUGAAGUUGGAUUCGCUAGUAAUCGCGCAUCAGCCAUGGCGCGGUGA
rnacentral:rRNA from 1 species